AUUAGCCAUGCAUGUCUCAGUACAUGCCGAAUUAAGGUGAAACCGCGAAUGGCUCAUUAAAUCAGUUAUGGUUCAUUAGAUCGUGGACACAUUUACUUGGAUAACUGUGGUAAUUCUAGAGCUAAUACAUGCAAACAGAAUUCCUCUCAGAGAUGGGAGGAAUGCUUUUAUUAGAUCAAAACCAAUCGGUGGCGGACGGCUCGUCCGUUCGUCCAUCGUUUGUUUUGGUGACUCUGAAUAACUUUGUGCUGAUCGCAUGGUCAUCUAGCACCGGCGACGCAUCUUUCAAAUGUCUGCCUUAUCAACUGUCGAUGGUAGGUUCUGCGCCUACCAUGGUUGUAACGGGUAACGGGGAAUCAGGGUUCGAUUCCGGAGAGGGAGCCUGAGAAACAGCUACCACAUCCAAGGAAGGCAGCAGGCGCGCAAAUUACCCACUCCCGGCACGGGGAGGUAGUGACGAAAAAUAACGAUACGGGACUCAUCCGAGGCCCCGUAAUCGGAAUGAGUACACUUUAAAUCCUUUAACGAGGACCAAUUGGAGGGCAAGUCUGGUGCCAGCAGCCGCGGUAAUUCCAGCUCCAAUAGCGUAUAUUAAAGUUGUUGCGGUUAAAAAGCUCGUAGUUGAAUCUGUGUGUCACAGUGUCGGUUCACCGCUCGCGGUGUUUAACUGGCAUUAUGUGGUACGUCCUAUCGGUGGGCUUAGCUCCUUGCGGGCGGUCCAACUAAUAUCCCAUCGCGGUGCUCUUCACUGAGUGUCGAGGUGGGCCGAUACGUUUACUUUGAAAAAAUUAGAGUGCUUAAAGCAGGCUACCUUUGCCUGAAUACUGUGUGCAUGGAAUAAUGGAAUAGGACCUCGGUUCUAUUUUGUUGGUUUUCGGAACCCCGAGGUAAUGAUUAAUAGGGACAGAUGGGGGGCAUUCGUAUUGCGACGUUAGAGGUGAAAUUCUUGGAUCGUCGCAAGACGGACAGAAGCGAAAGCAUUUGCCCAAAAUGUUUUCAUUAAUCAAGA
rnacentral:rRNA from 1 species